UACGGGGGGGGGCAAGCGUUUGUUCGGAAUUACUGGGCGUAAAGGGCGCGUAGGUGGCCAACUAAGUCAGACGUGAAAAUCCCCUCGGCUUAACCGGGGGAACUGCGUCUGAUACUGGAUGGCUUGAGUUUGGGAGAGGGACGCGGAAUUCCAGGUGUAGCGGUGAAAAUGCGUAGAUAUCUGGAGGAACACCGGUGGCGAAGGCGGCGUCCUGGACCAAUACUGACACUGAAACGCGAAAGCCAGGGGGAGCAAACGGG
rnacentral:rRNA from 1 species